UUGUAGGUACUGAUUUGCCUCAUUAUUUACCCAAGAUCUGGAUACAGGUUUACUUUCGAAUAUAUAUUGCACCCUGCUAGGUGGGUUUCCUUUGAAAGGAAAAAGCUGAAAAUAGUAAAUUACAGGGCAAGAUGAAAGAAGAAUUCAAGCCAAACCAGACCCAGGAUAUCACCAAUAAUGGUUUCUCCAAAGUUGGCUAUGACAAUCCUGGAUAC